GACGAACGCUGGCGGCGUGCUUAACACAUGCAAGUCGAGCGGUAAGGCCCUUUCGGGGGUACGACGAGCGGCGAACGGGUGAGUAACACGUGGGUGACCUGCCCUCAGCUCUGGGAUAAGCCUGGGAAACUGGGUCUAAUACCGGAUAUGACUCCAUGACGCAUGUUGUGGGGUGGAAAGCCUUGUGCGGCUGAGGAUGGGCCCGCGGCCUAUCAGCUUGUUGGUGGGGUGANGGCCCUACCGAGGCGACGACUGGUAGCCGGCCUGAGAGGGCGACCGGCCACACUGGGACUGAGACACGGCCCACGACUCCUACGGGAGGGCAGCAGUGGGGAAGUCUUGCGCAAUGGGCGAAAGCCUGACGCAGCGACGCCGCGUGAGGGAUGACGGCCU
rnacentral:rRNA from 1 species